GCAGCAGCAGAUCUCCCCGCUUUGUGCGGCCGCGCGGCCCGGAGAGCCCCCUCCUCCCGGCCCGGCUGACCGCCCCGCUCGGCCUGGCCUUCCCGGCCACGAAAGACGAGGGUUGGGGGCAUAGCAGGGUGAGAGUAGUGGUGAGGGCUGGUGUGGCACGUGGGGAGGGGGCCAGAGCCCUAGGUGCUGCACCUGGGGAAGGAGAGCAGACGUCGGGACCGGGGAUCCCAGGGUUAGCUAGCGUUUUCCCGGAAGGGCAAGAAAAGAUGCUCCACUGGCCCCCACAAAGCUGACCGGACUCCCUUUUGGGUGGGGACCGGGCGAGUAAAAGCAGCCUUUUGAAUGUUGACUUCUCAAUCCUUUUCAGGAGGCCCUCCGCCUGCCCUACUGAGCGAACCUUUAAGCCCCCAAGCCAGUGUUUUUGGAAAGAGAGUGGUCAAUUUCAGGAGGACAUUAAAAGCCAACCUCCCGGGCUUCAGCCCCAGCUCCUACUGCCUUCCAGCCACUCUCCCCUGCCUUUCCUUUCUGCGGCUCUUAGGAUGUUGUUGCUGCCCUUAAAGGCCGUCGUGUGAGUGCCCUGUCAGAAGAAAGCUUGGUGGUGGUUAGGAUUUUACAGAAGGUAAUUAGGAUUUAGGCUGAAUGUACAUUUGCAAUAAAAUAAGGUUGUGUUAGUGUUGUGCUGGUGCCUGCAACUUUACCUCUUGCCAAGGCCAGAAAAUUCUGCCACGUUUCCCUAAACACCUAUAACUUGGCCCUCUUGUGUACAGGCAGUAUUCCAUAUUAUUACACGUGGUGCUGAUUUUUAAUGAAUAUUAUAAAAGUUUGGCUCGCUCUACUGAGAGAAGGAUCAUAAAUCCCCCCUGUAAAACGGGCACUGGCGUAUGCUGAGGAAGCAGUGAAGCGUCCUGGGAGUCUUGUGAUAUCAUCUAAAGUGUUGCUCUGAACUACCUUCAUUUGAGGGCAGAGUUUUGAAAGGCCCCAUUUGGAAUGUCUGUGUGGAAAGCUAAGUGAUGGCUGAAAGCAAGCUGAAGGUGCUGAGCUAAUUUUUCUAACAGCACUGCAGAGUCCCUGCGUGGAGGUCUGGCACGGGACUGUGAGAUUUUCUCUGCUAACCGACCCGGCCUUCAGAUAAGGAAAAGUCCUAGAGCUAGGAGUAGCCCUCAGUCUCCUGACCUCUGGUCUGGUGCCCCCUAGGACAAAACACCCUGCUUCUGAGGUCCCUGCCUGACCCCUGGCAAGGACAGAGUACUAAUUCCUGGUCUGCCCUGGCCAGGCCGUUUCUUAUAGUUUUAUGGAUGGUUCUGUUUCUCAUUCCUCAUUCUUGUAAGUAUGUGUUUGUGAGAUAACUUUACGCAUUUUAGUAGCAGCAAUAAAUGUUUUUCUCACAACAAGGGAUGCUUGAGAGCAUCCGUAUGAGAGUGGUGUAGAUUCAUUUAUUUUCAAGCAAGCGGUGGCUGCCCAGCUGUGAGUGGAGUUGGGCACAUCAGCGUAGGGGUGGUUGAGGAGGGAAAUGAGGCUGCCAGCUGAUCUCCCACCUCCAUUCUGGAUUCUACAAGCUGAUCUUGUCAGAUGGAUACAACAAAGGCUAACAGGUCAUUUCAGUUAGUCUGCUUGCCCAAAGACUCAGACUGGAGCUUUUUCACUUUGAGAUUUUCAAGCAUGAGGUGGGACAUUAAAUAGAGAUGAAAAAACCUAAAACACCUGUGAUAGGUUGCAUCAUCCAGUCAUUCAAGGAGGCUGAAUUAGGAGUAGUUAGCCUCUCAGGUUACAUCCAGCUCUGCAAUCAUGCACCUCUGGCUGUAAGACGAAAUCUUUGCUUUGGAUAAGCUUUGAAGUCUGGUAGUGAGUUCAUUUUUCUACUUUAUUUUCGGUAGUUAGAAGUGGGUUAUUUGAAUUCAAGCCGAAAAAUACAUUCAGAAUUAUGUGAAAUUAAAAUGGUAAGUCAAGUACUAGACACUCAUUUAACAGUACUGCUGCAGAGGUUGGGCUGUGGACAGCCUUAGCACCUCCAUCAUGAGUUUGCAUGGCCACUCCUGGGCUUGUGCUGCUCUGGCAAUUUAGGCGUUUAUGAUGUGAAACAGAUCCAGGUCCUUCCCUCUGUAUAAUCAUGGCAGUAAGUUGAGUGGAGGUCAAUUUAUUUCUCAUGCCUGGAGCAUUCAACCUUUCCUGAUAUACAUUUUUUUCCUACAUAAUUACACAUGUGUGUUGAUCCAGAGCAUGGGCUUUGUCUGUGAUUCAUUUCUAAGCAUGAUAUUUCCAGGGACAAUAAAUCUGUAUCAUGGCAUUGAAACAAAUAAACUUUAUUUCUAUAAUAGAAAUCUUCUUGAUUGUAGAAAAUAAAACAGGAAAAAUUAAAAUAUACAGGAAACAGAUGAGGAAAGGAAGACGGACUAAAGACAUGGGCAGUUCUUGAGCCUUUGAUUUUCUUGCUCUCCAGCACCCUGUACAGGAUUUGAUGAUGUUGAGAAAAUAUUGUAUUUUUUCUUAGGCAGAACAGUAGACAGAAUUUCAAAUGUGGUACCUUGAAUAAGGCAUGGCAGGGCAAAUUUAACAUCCAAUGAAAUCUGACAAAAGUGAAUGGAGUGGGAUGCUGUAGGGGUUUCUGCAGACAAGGAACAUGUCCUGGCCUCAACUCCUAAAGGAUCACUCUGCUGGGUCACGGGAAGUACAGGAAUGGA
rnacentral:lncRNA from 1 species